rnacentral:rRNA from 1 species
AGAGUUUGAUCCUGGCUCAGAUUGAACGCUGGCGGCAUGCCUAACACAUGCAAGUCGAACGGCAGCGCGGGGGCAACCCUGGCGGCGAGUGGCGGACGGGUGAGGAAUACAUAGGAAUCUACCCAAACGUGGGGGAUAACGUAGGGAAACUUACGCUAAUACCGCAUACGACCGAGAGGGGAAAGCGGCGGACCGCAAGGCGUCGCGCGGUUGGAUGAGCCUAUGUCCGAUUAGCUAGUUGGCGGGGUAAUAGCCCACCAAGGCGACGAUCGGUAGCUGGUCUGAGAGGAUGAUCAGCCACACUGGAACUGAGACACGGUCCAGACUCCUACGGGAGGCAGCAGUGGGGAAUAUUGGACAAUGGGCGCAAGCCUGAUCCAGCAAUGCCGCGUGGGUGAAGAAGGCCUUCGGGUUGUAAAGCCCUUUUGUACGGGAAGAAAUCCUGUCGGUUAAUACCCGGCGGGGAUGACGGUACCGUAAGAAUAAGCACCGGCUAACUUCGUGCCAGCAGCCGCGGUAAUACGAAGGGUGCAAGCGUUAAUCGGAAUUACUGGGCGUAAAGCGUGCGUAGGCGGUUCGUUAAGUCUGUCGUGAAAGCCCUGGGCUCAACCUGGGAAUGGCGAUGGAUACUGGCGAGCUAGAGUGUGAUAGAGGAUGGCGGAAUUCCCGGUGUAGCGGUGAAAUGCGUAGAGAUCGGGAGGAACAUCCGUGGCGAAGGCGGCCAUCUGGAUCAACACUGACGCUGAGGCACGAAAGCGUGGGGAGCAAACAGGAUUAGAUACCCUGGUAGUCC